rnacentral:sRNA from 4 species
AUAUCUCUCUGUACGGGAAGGAUGAGAAGCUUCGACUAAGGUUCGAUUCGAGCGUCAGCGAGAAAGCGUUGCCGCAGGCAACGACCCGAAGGGCGAAGCGCGCAGCGCUGAGUCAUCCUU